GCUGGGUUCAGAACGUCGUGAGACAGUUCGGUCCCUAUCCGUCGUGGGCGUAGGAAAUUUGAGAGGAGCUGUCCUUAGUACGAGAGGACCGGGAUGGACGUAUCAAUGGUGUACCAGUUGUCACGCCAGUGGCAUAGCUGGGUAGCUAAAUACGGAAGGGAUAAGAGCUGAAAGCAUCUAAGCAUGAAGCCCCCCUCGAGAUGAGAUUUCCCACGGAUAUUAAGACCCCUUGAAGACGACAAGGAGAAUAGGUUAGGAGUGUAAGCACGGUAACGUGUUCAGCUGACUAAUACUAAUAGGUCGAGGACUUAAUCAA
rnacentral:rRNA from 1 species